ensembl:snRNA U6 U6 spliceosomal RNA
UUGCUCGCCACGGCGGCACAUAUACUAAAAUUGGAUCGAUACAGAGAAGAUUAGCAUGGCCCCUGCGAAAGGGUGACACGCGAAUCCGUGAAGCGCUCCAUCUUUUU